rnacentral:sRNA from 1 species
AAAGACUAAGAACACCACAUUCUGCGGCAACAUCUUUAUGCCCCACUUCCUGUGG